CACGUUGAAAGUCACUGAGCUCUUCAGUACGGGGCCGUUCUACUACCAAUGUUUGUCUAUGGAGAAUGCAUGGCGGUGUGCUUGAUUUAAUACACCUGUCAGCAACGGGUUUUGGUGACAUAGCCGAAUCCACUCAUUUGAAGGGGCGUCCACAUACUGCUGUGUGUGUGUGAGAUAUAUAGAUAUAUAUAGAUAUAUAUAUGUGAUAGAACACAUUCGUACACAUAAAUAUAACUAUGCAUAAAUUAGUCCAUAUCGAUAUGCAUUUAUUUCUCAGUCUGUGUUUAACUCGAUGCUGGGUUCUUCAGCAUCAACAUGGUCCUGUUCAUCAGGACACGUCGUACUAAAAUGUUUUCAACACAUAACGGAAACAAGUGUUUAUCAUCGGUCACUUUCCCUGUUCGUCUGUUUGGUGCCUAAUGAAUAUGACUCAGUCUCUUUCUCCAGGGCCCACCCAGUCCUCCUCCGUCUGUCUCAGGGCCCACCCAGUCCUCCCGUCUGUCUCAGGGCCCACCCAGUCCUCCGUCUGUCUCCAGGGCCCACCCAUCCUCCUCCGUCUGUCUCAGGGCCCACCCAGUCCUCCUCCGUCUGUCUCAGGGCCCACCCAGUCAUCCUCCGUCUGUCUCAGGGCCCACCCAGUCAUCCUCCGUCUGUCUCA
rnacentral:lncRNA from 1 species